UUCAUUCAAAUGCAUCAGAGAACUAAUAACUCAUUUAGUAAAUCAUCAUGCUUACAAGGUUAUCUCCUCAUUGUCCCCUAUGCAUAUGAAACAAUCCUAAAUGAAACACUCUAGACUCGAUUCUAAAUGUAAUGCAACUACAUGAACACUCUGUUUUUGUGAAAUCAUUUUCUCUAAUUUUUCAAUUUUAUUUAUUUAUUUUUUAUAUGCCUUAGAUGAAUGCUGUCUCAACUCAAGAGUAUAUACAAUGCAACACACACUUCCUGAGCCCUCCCCCAAACUUAAAUAUGAAUGCUGACUCAACUCAAGAGUAUAUACAAUGCAACACACACUUCCUGAGCCCUCCCCCAAACUUAAAUCACACUGUCCACUGUGUGACCAAAUUUGGAAGAGAGUACUCAGGACAAAACACAUAACAAAAACACAAUAUAAACAAGAGAUUAUAUAGUACAAUGGUGAAGUGAGGCGCUUACCUCAGUCGAAGAAUGAACGGAGUUGGUCGUCAAUGGGUGCCUGUGAUUGCUCCCAAGGCAUUAAAGAGUCGCCCUGUUCUAUAUCAGCUCUAGCAUGUGGGUACUCGACCUCAUUGCCUCUGUGGCGGCCAGCACCGCCAUGAGUUUACUCGACCUCCCCUCUUCUGCUGCGGCCAGCACCACAGUCGAGUGAUCUCCUUGCGUGGAUAAGCUAAAAUAUGGUCGAGUAUUUUUCAUUGCUCUGUGGUCGAGUAUACUGCUUUCCUCGCAGAGCCAGAAUCCACUUCACUGAGCUCUUUAUACUUAUCUCCUGAAGACACUAACCAAAUGCAUCAAAAACAACAAGGAAAAUAAAGAUAUGUACAAAGAUAGACAUGGGAUUUCCUCCCAAGUGAGCUUGUUUUAAGUCUCUAAGCUUGACUUCAUACUCAUUACGCUUAGGGUGGGUUGUAGAGAGGAAAUGAGGUCUCCUCUCCUCCUUGAGUAGAGUGAUCAUCAUACUCAUUAGGGUUUCCUAACAGGUCUGCAAUUGGGUACUCAGUGGCUAUGUCCUGACAGUAAGCUUCUUUUUUAUCAAGAUAGUCUUUUCCUCUAGACCAUUCCGAUGUGAAUUCAAAUUCCUUUUUUGCUGACCAGAAUAGUGGCUCCAUCGUCAGGGGUGUCCUUGAUGUUGAGUGGUACUUGGUUGGCUUUUCCAUUGAGCUCCUUGAUUUGAUCUUUCAGCUCUUUCACAAUAUGUGUUAGCUCUUGUAUGGCUUUGUCCUGCCAUUUAGAUCUCUCUUUGAGUUCUAACCAAUCAUCUGAUGUCUGAGUGUUUGCCUUGAGUUGUUUGGUCGAGCAUGAGCUUUUAGGGCAAGUUGGAGGCUUCUUCGAGUUGUUGGUGGAAUCAGUUGGUCGAGCGUGUGUUGAACUUUCUUCAUUAGCUUUCAUAACCUUUGUGUCUGACCCCAUCAAGCCUUUGUAAACCUUUGAGCCAACUGCUGACUUGUGUGAGUCUAAUGACUUCUCAGAACUCAAAGUUUCACUAGGGAGAUACCCGGCUUUACCACUCUUGGUCAAAACAGUUUUUGAGUUAUUUGCUUCUUCAAGUUCCACUAGCAGUUCACCAGCUAGUCGAUCCACUUCCUUAACUAAGAAGGUCUGUUCUUUUAUUGUCGGCUUCAUCAUAGCAUCAUUGAUAUUAAACUUCAUUUCAAGAUUCUUCCCUAGAUUAAGAUCAAUCUUUUCUUGCUUAACAUCUAUGAUUGUUGCAGCUGUAGCCAAAAAGGGCCUUCCUAAUAUCAAGGGAUCUUUUGGUUCUUCAUCCAUGUUCAGAACUACGAAGUCUGUAGGCACCUCCACAUUUCCAAUCUUGAUAGGCAAAUCUUCUAAUAAUCCAUGAGGUAGUCUAACAGACCUAUCAGCCAAGAUUAAGGAGAUAUUGUAGUAUUUAUACUUGUUGAAACCCAACCCCUUAGCUACUGAGAGUGACAUGAGAUUUACUGAUGCACCUAGGUCACAAAGGCAUUCAUUGAAAGUCAAUGAACCUAGGGAGCAUGGUAGAGUGAAUGAACCAAGGUCUCCUAGCUUUUCCGAGACAUCGUUCUCCUAUAUGAUGGCACUGCACUUAUGGCUCAGAACUGUUGUUUUCUGAACCUCUUGAAUUCUCUCCAUGAUCAAGUCUUUGAGGAACUUUUGGGAAUCCGGGAUACGCGUUAGAGCAUCAGCAAGAGGUAUCCUUAAUUUGGCUUCCUUGAUGUUAUUGGCAAACAUAGCUCUGUGCUUAUCUUCUAACUCUUUCUUGUGUCGACCAGGAAAUGGAAGUGGGGGCUUAUAAGGAGGAGGAUUGAAGAUUUUUUCUUUGUUUUUGACAGCAACUAGUUUGGGAGCGGUAGGUGAUGUUGCUGGGAAGGUCGGUCGAGUAAAGUGGUCGAGUGGCAGCUCGAGUGACUGGUCGAGUGGCUGCUCAAGUGACUGGUCGAGUGGCUGCUCGAGUUGUUUGUCAGCUUGAUCUUUAUUGAGAUUGAAAUCCUCCCUAUCUUGGUAUGCACUGUCCUCAGUGACUGACUGGGGUCUCUCUCUAGUGGAGAACUCUCUUCCACUCCUUAUGGUGAUAGCAUGAACAUUAGCAAACUCCUUGGGAUUCUGAAUUGACUUCCCUGGAAGUCCCGUAACUUUGGGAGCAGAGGUAGAUGCGGAUUGUCCUUCUAAGUAUUUGACUUUGGAAUUCAACGCCUCCACUUUAGCAUUCAGGUCAUGGUAGCUGCAGUCCAGCUUAUGGUGCAAUUCAGAUAACGUCUUAGCAAUUUCCAUGGAGCUAGAUGCUUGUCCCUGUAGCAGUUGUUGUACCAUCUGUUUCAUUUCAGUAUCAGGAGCAGCAGGACCUUGGUUUUACUGAGGUGCAAACCCAGGUGGUGGUUGCAGCUGGUAGUUCUCCUGGAAUUCUUGCUUGGGAAUGAAACCUUGGUUGUAGGGAACAAAAGGUUUGUUCUGACCUUGUUGUUGCUAUGGAGGAUACACUUGAUCCUAAGGAUUAGCAACGUUGGUGUUGCGGUAGGAGAGGUUGGGGUUGUUGGUUUUGAAGUUGGUGUACCCUUUGUAGCUACUCUAGUUGUUGUUGAUGUAGCUGGCCUCUUCUAACUGGUUACCCUCUCCAUCUUGGACUUGAUAUUGCUCGUCAUCAACAAGGAAGUGCACAUGCUUUUGCUGGCUAAGAAGAAUCUUGUCCAGCUUGUCAUUCAGUGCUUUGAUCUCCUUCCUGUGUUUGUCAUCAAAGUCAGAUGUGCUUCUGACGGUCCUAUCGCAGUCCUCGUUGUAAUUACCAUCUGAUUGAGCAAGGUUCUCAACCAAUAUCCCAGCCUUCUUCAACAUCUUUGUUCUAGAAAUUCCCAUUCUUGGCUGUAUCCAGAAGCAUUCUGAUGCGUGGUAGAACUCCACUGUAAAGAGUGAUGAGCAGAGAGGCUUUCGUGAGGCCAUGAUGAGGGCAUUGGUUGGUGUAACCCUUGAAACGUUCCCAUGCUUCACAGAAGCUUUCACCACUCUUCUGUGAAAAACCAGAAAUCUCAUUUCUGAGUCUUGCAGUUCUGGCGUUGGAGAAGAACUUUGAUAGAAAAGCCUUCUUGCAAUCAUCCUAGGUGGUGAUUGAGUCAUGGGGCAAAUUCUUCUCCCAGAUGUGUGCUUUGUCGCCCAAGGAGAAUGGAAACAAACGGAGUUUGAAUCUGUCUUCACUGACACCAUUGAUUUUUGUUAGGUUACAGAACUUAUCGAAUUCAUCAAGGUGGUCGAGUGGAUCCUCCAUUGGUAGACCAUGGAAUUUGUUCCCCUGAAUCAUCGAGAUGAGACGACUCUUAAUCUCGAAGUUGUUGUUCUAGAUAGCAUGAGGUGCAAUUUCUUUCCUCUAACGAUGGUCCCGUGGUGCAUCUCAAGCACCAAUGUUGGCAGGACCAUUCUGUUGAUUCUGUUCAUCAGCCAUUUCGAGUGGUUGCUGAGGUACAAGGUUGACUGUGUUUCUCCUUUCUCUGAUUUUGCGAGCUAAGCGGUCGAUAUUGUCGUUGAAAAGGAGGUUCUGAUUGCCUGUUGAUCGAGUUUGCAUAUAGAAGAGGUGUACCUGGAUCAAGAAGAUAACAAGAAAAACACACAGUUAGUAAUUGA
rnacentral:sRNA from 1 species